GCCUGGUUAUAUCAGUCGGUAGAUAGUUUGACUCUUACUCCCAUUGUGUUAAGAUAUCAAAAUGUCAUGGGUUCGAGCCCCAUACUAGGCU